UGUUACAUGUGGAAUGCAGAAGAAUUCGUGCAGACUGUGUAGUUUAUAACUGCAACUCAAGUGAAGCGGAAGGAGUUGUGCUGUCCAAGCCAGGACGUGGGACUAUUUUGCUGGGUAUGUACUCUUGAGGUGGUACUUGUCUUGUAUUGUGGUAGAGCUGGCUCAUAUUGACCAGCGAAUACUAUUUGGGGCUGAAAUAAAGCCUGUUGGUUGGCAUUUGUGUUUUUACUGA